rnacentral:rRNA from 1 species
GGGAUACUGAUUUGCUUAUUGCACCACAUGUGUUUUUCUUUGAAACAAACUUGCUUUGGCGGUGGGCCCAGCCUGCCGCCAGAGGUCUAAACUUACAACCAAUUUUUUAUCAACUUGUCACACCAGAUUAUUACUAAUAGUCAAAACUUUCAACAACGGAUCUCUUGGUUCUCGCAUCGAUGAAGAACGCAGCGAAAUGCGAUACGUAAUAUGAAUUGCAGAUAUUCGUGAAUCAUCGAAUCUUUGAACGCACAUUGCGCCCUCUGGUAUUCCGGAGGGCAUGCCUGUUUGAGCGUCGUUUCUCCCUCAAACCGCUGGGUUUGGUGUUGAGCAAUACGACUUGGGUUUGCUUGAAAGACGGUAGUGGUAAGGCGGGAUCGCUUUGACAAUGGCUUAGGUCUAACCAAAAACAUUGCUUGCGGCGGUAACGUCCACCACGUAUAUCUUCAAACUUUGACCUCAAAUCAGGUAGGACUACCCGCUGAACUUAAGCAUAUCAAAAGCCGGAGGAA